UUGCGGAACCAUGUAAAACAACAACCUUCAUCUGAGUGGAGCCGAGCCUGGACCGAGCGACUGAAGAAGGCAACUGUAAAUAAUUUGGGUGAAUUUGCAUCUGGUGAAGGGUGAUCCGUAGGCACAGCCUCUGCCUAAACGCUUGUUGCCCCUCUUCCCUCCUGGCCCGCGGGGCUUGGAAAAGGCCUGCUUUAGGGUGUGCUCCAUUGGGUGGACCUCCUCGUACAGGAAUUCUUCUGUCAGACCAUCACCAUUGUCUAUUUCCAUCUACGCACACAAGAACAAAUGAGUUACUCAUAAAUUGUGGUGUCAAAGAUGACAAUAACACAACAGAGGGUUGAGGUGACUCAGACCUUCUUGGUGACCUCCAGCUGGUAGUCUCUCUCCACCUCAUCCAGUAGCCUGUUCUUACAGCUAGAGUAGAGCAUCCGUUCCUUGAUGCUACAGGUGUAGCCGGGCAUUGAAUAUAGGAACACUGGAACAUGAGGUCAUGAGGACAAGCAGAUGAUAGUUACUGCAUCACUGGAUCACAUCACAUGUACAACUGGGGAGGAAAAAAUAAACCCUACAAGAGCAUCCCGUAUAUUAAAAACAUGAGGACUAUCCCACAGUAGCUAUGAAAGGAAGACAUUAGUAACAUUUAGUUAAAUACAUAAAUGCAUCAUUGUUCACACUUGUUCAGCUGCUGUUACAUUCGGGUCGGGGAAGUUAAUAACUCUGCAGAAUGUUAUUUCUAAUUCCACUGAUGUUAUUCAGUGUAGAUUUUGAAUAUUUAUUCAUAACACCUUAAGGCCUCUAGAGUGGAAUACUAUUAGCAUACAUGCCACUUGGUAAAUGUACUCCAGCUUUCACUGUUCUUUUUGGGCCCUGGACCUGAAGGAUCCAGAUCUUAUUUUAUACUGUUUUUUUGUUUUGUUUUGUUUUUUUAUGCUGUCUUUGUUUGCUGUUACACAAAUCACAUAGACGAUGACUUUUAACUCUUGCUGUACUGUAAGGACAAUAAAAACAUUCUGAAAUAUC